UACGUAGGGUGCAAGCGUUGUCCGGAAUUAUUGGGCGUAGAGAGCUCGUAGGCGGUUUGUCGCGUCGAAUGUGAAAUCCCGGGGCUCAACCCCGGGUCUGCAUUCGAUACGGGCAGACUAGAGUUCGGUAGGGGAGUCUGGAAUUCCUGGUGUAGCGGUGAAAUGCGCAGAUAUCAGGAGGAACACCGGUGGCGAAGGCGGGACUCUGGGCCGAUACUGACGCUGAGGAGCGAAAGCGUGGGGAGCAAACAGG
rnacentral:rRNA from 1 species